AUGAAGGAGUUGAAUGCAAAGAGUAGAGGGUUGGACAUAGAGUAUGAGAGGAUUGACCACAUGAAAGCAAAGGUGAGUGAGGGUGGUGAAGAUGGCAAGCGACAUGUUGUGGAUCUGGACAUGAGGAUAUGCACAUGUAGAGAAUUCCAAGUAUCAGGGAAGCCUUGCAAGCAUGCCAUUUCCUUCAUCAUCGGAAUUAGAGGGGUCACUAUAGAACACUUUGUUGAUGAUUACUACAGUGUUGCCAAGUUCGCAGCAGCAUAUACUCCUGUAAUGCCAGGGCUUACUGAUGCAUCUCAAUGGCCAAAGAAAACCCAUGAAUUCUUUUGGCACCCUCCAAUCCUUCAAAGGGCUCCUGGGAGGAAAAAAGAAAUAAAUCCAAAGUUGCAGCAAGGAGUGGUGACUCUAAUAUUCAAGCAAUCGAAGAAGUGGUUCAGCAUGGUUAAAAGGAACAAUAGGUAA
rnacentral:rRNA from 1 species